GUCGGACCCCCACAAAUGACGUAGUCGAAGGACCCGCCGCCUUUAAAAAGCGACACCGGUUUUUCCAACAUGUGAGGAUGAAACCCAUACCGUGGUCACAAAACAAGGGAAACAAAAUGAACGAAUUACAGGGAAGUCAACCAGGUAAACUAUAGUUAUUGAUUUGUUGCCAUUGGUUUGUCUUGGAACUGAUUUGCUUGCAAGGUGUGUCUACCGCGUUUGUGAUGCUAACCUGACUGAACAGGGGUCUGUCUGCCUGUGUUUUGCUUGUUUACCAGGCACUCCCAGGGUUAAAUUCAGUCACCCUAGCCCUGACAGAAUUCAGAUGUAACACAACCAGUCUAGGCUGUAUAAACCUCAGUGGCCUCUGGUUUAUACCGUGAAUCUACGUUAGCAGUUUUACUGAGGUUUUUAUGGACAGAGUUAACAUUUUCAGCAGUAACCUGGGCAUUUGUCCAUGGUCUUGGCAAUACCAUGACAUUGUUUCUUGUGUUUUAGAGUAAAACUUGGGCUAACGGUGGAAAGCAUUAAGUUGCCACUAACUUGUUUAUAAUACUCAAUCAAGAAAGAUGACUACAUGGCCACAGUGGGCAUUAGUAUGCAUGUCUCUUGGUGUAAGGUGACCAAGUAGCCAUAUUGGUUUAGACAGGUGAGGCCUACUGUGCCACAGGCAAAAGACUAAAGCUCAGAGACAUGUCAAACUUUUACACAUCAUGGUUGCUAAACUGUGUGUAGACUAUGUAAUUUACAGAUGCAUUGCAAUAAAUUGGAACAUAAUAAAAAAGAGGAUUUAUUUCAGUAAUUCAAUUUAAAAAAGUGAAACUCCAACUGUAUAUUUUAUCAAACACACAGAGUGAUAUAUUUCAAGGGUUCAUUUCAAAUAUUGUAACUUACAGAUGAUGAAAACCUAAAAUUCAGUGUCUCAGGAAAUUAGAAUAUUAAGAAAGACCAAUAAUAAUAAAAAAAAAAAGUCAACAGAAACAUUGGGUCAGGUGGGUUUGCUAACCAAUCCACCAUGGUUCUUAAACCAGGUAUUGGUACUUUUGGCAGUAUGGGCAGCCAAGUCCUGCUGGAAAAUGAAAUCAGCAGAAGGAAGCAUGAAGUGCUCUUAAACUGCCUGAACGAUGGCUGCGCUGACCCUGGACCUGAUCGGUGGAUGAACACCAGCAGAUGACAUGGCUCCCCAAACCACCACUGGACACCUUUGCAUGGGUUUUGAGUUAAUUAUAUCUGAUCAAAGUGAUACCAUGAGUUUCAAAUGAACUUUUUCAUGAACUUCUGCAAAAUAUUCAAAUUUUCUGAGAUGCUGAAUUUUGGGUUUUCAUCAGCUGUUAGUUACAAUUAUCAAAACACUUGAAAUAUAUCAGCCUGUGAGUGAUGAAUCUAUGUAUGUGAGUUUCACUUUUUGAACUGAAUUACUGACAUAAAUCCACAUUUUGAUGAUUCCAGUUUACUGAGAUGCACCUUUAAUUACCAUCUUGACCUCAACCUACAUUGACAGUUCUGUUUCAGGUGUACUUCUUAUUUUGUAGCUCUACUUGUCAGGUGUCUUGCAUGUCCAUGUCAUUCAUGUUCUUAUGUUUUAUUGUUUUGUUGCUAUUCUGUUGGUAUCUGUAAUAUUGAGCUUCAAAAUUUGAAGAAGUACUAAAUUAUGAUCCUCUAAUUCAUAUUAUUUGCCAUGUUACUGAUAAAGAGGGGAGACAAGUUUGGUGUAAUUUCUUCCCUGCACUUACCUUAAAUUACCACAAGGUGUCACCCUUGCUUAAUAUACGUGAUUUAAUUUAGAUUUUGAACAAUCUAAAUUAUUGGUGUAGAGUAGACUGAUGAGCUGAUUUGGAUAUUCAUAUUUAAAUUUCGUCUGCAUAUUUAUCUCCUUUGUCAUUGAGAGAAACAUGUCUCACAUUGUAACAGUUUUGGUUAUGACUGAUGGCCGAGGAGUCCUUAAUUAAAAGAUUUCACAUGUAAUGAACACAGGUAAAAUAUGUGAUGAGAGCCAUACAAAUCUCACCUACACUGUGUUUUUGCCUAUACUGCUAUAGCUCUCCUGUAAAAGCCAAAUACUCUUAGUAGGGAUCUGUGAGGUUGUAGAUUUCAGGCUUCAGAAUGAAUUAAAGCAUGUGGAGAUACAUGGAACAGACACUCCUCAUGAAUUACUAAAGUGGCUGACAUGUUAGUGACAUUAGAGAGGGUUGGCAACAUUUAUUGUCUUGGCAGUUGUGUGGUGGUGAUGAUGAAACUGUUGAAUUCAGUGAGGAAGUAGGUCACAGUGCUAUAAAAGAUGUAGCUUUGUCGCAUCAAUGUGCUUAAUAUUAUAUUGCUUUACAGUCUUCAUACACACAUGCAUGGCCCUUGGAGGUUAAAUUCACAUGCACUGCUAUUGACAUAAUAUUCUGGCACACAAGCUUGUGCACACACUAUCUGUAUCCGCACACUAUCCACACUAGUGUCACCUUCUUUCACUUUACCAUCUCAGUUUUCCAGCAGUGGGUUUGACUUUGAACAACAUUCACAGAGAAAAUCAAAGAGAAUUCUUUCUCAGACAAACUCUAGUCCACGGUGUACUGAGUAAAGGAUAUUGCAGUUCAAUGUGAUAUUGAAUUCUCUGAGUUUGUGUAAGAGUGUGUAGUCCUUUGCCAGAAACUGUUUUUUUGUGCAGACAGCCAAAAAGAUAAAAAGUGUUCUAGAGAUCCCAUUUGAAACAGAAAAUAACUGUGAUAAAGUUUGCUCUGGAGGAGGCAUUUUUCAAAAAACCUUCCUGUAAAUGCAAAUGCAGAAUUAUAGAUUAAGUGUGGUGUUAUUAUGAAAAAGGACUCUCCAGCUGGAAUCAUUCUCUCUUAAGAUGAAGCUUGUUUCAGGGGUAGAGGAAGAAAACUCAAAGUUAGAUAAGAUUCUAAAAAUAUCUGGUCAUUUCUGUGCAUGGUCCAAGAUAUAUCUGGCAGCAUCCUUAAAACGGUGGAGAUCAAAACCCAAGAUUGCUAACCGGGAGAAAAUGGGCCGAAAAUGUCAGCACUGUUUGAAAAUAAAGUCAGUAAAAAAUAGGCUAUUUAGACAGUCUGUGUAAUGAUAGAUGCACACUGACGCAUCCAGAGGGAAAAACCAUGAGUUCUUUAAACCAAUACUGAAAAAUGAUGUUGGGAGUAUUUGCACACUUUAAUUUUUGCAUUUAAAAAUAAAUACUGAAAUGACACUAAUAGCUCUUCUGUAUUCAGGCUAGAAACACAAUAACCACUGCCGCAGUGUUUUUUUUUUCUAUCUCAUAUAUUUACUUACUUAUGAUGCUUCUGACCUUUGAUUGCUUUGAUUUUUUAACAGUAUUCAUCUUUACUUGUGUGUGCAGUAUUAAGUACCAAUUUUUCCCCACAAUAGUACAGGUUCUAUGUUUAUCCUCUCAAAAGUCAAAGUCAACUUUAUUGCCAAAUAUGCUAUACAUGUUCAACAUACAGCACAGGUGAAAUUUCAGUCCUCUCAGAGCCACGGUACAUAACAAUAAACUAUAGGAAUAAAACUAUAAAAGUAUAAAUAUAGAAUAAACAACUAAGCUAAACAAAAGACUACCUUAAAUACUCACAUCAAUUUACAAAAUAAAGAUAACAAUAUAAACGGCAUAACAGUAUAAACAGUGUGCAGUAUAAAUAUAAGGAGGAAGUUGAGUGGAAGAAAGUGAAUGUAAACAGUAUGGCAGUAUGACAGUCCUGAUGUGGACACAAUAGUGCAAAUAUGACAGUGUAAACAGUAUGGCAGUCCUGAUGUGGACAUAACAGAGCAAAUAUGGCGAUAUGGACGCAAUAGUACAAAUAAAUGUAAUACAGUAGUAAUGAUGGUGCAGUGAUAAGGGAUAAAGUGAAAGUGUGCAGUCCUGAGGUUGGUGUGUUUGUGGGCAUGAAAUGAAAGCAAACUUGUCUUAUUACUUUUUUCGAAGGGGUGUUUAGCAUGGGGUCAUCAUCAUCUGAAAUAAUAGAAAUAAUAUAAAUGAGAAAAACAGAACAGACUGUUUGCCUUAUUUUUACACCGACACAAGGUGGCAGUAUUGAAGCAUAAAAUUACAGUCAUACAUGGCUGUUUUAUCUGUCAAAGCACAGAAAUUUAACCUCACUGCCAGGCUAACACAUACAGAGUUCUACUAGUACUUUUUAAAGAAGGCAUUGCAUUGCAAACGCAGACUACAUUUUUAUAAAAUAUACCCCAAACCACUGAUCUGCUAAGUUUUAACAAUCAUGUAAAAUUUAUUUUCACAUUACACCAACAUGCAGUAGAUCUUGGUUAUCAAGUUAUGGGUCUCGCUCCAGAUAACAUGAACUGAGCGCCAGCUGCUUUGGAGGCUUGAAUCAGUCCUUCCUAAUGCAUAAUCCAUGAGUUUUUAUUUCUCCCUUGAAAUGUGAGUUGUCUCUUUGAAGUGUUUUGCGGUAUUAUUAUACUGCGGUUUGACAAGUAAUAAUGUUGAUGUCUUGUAUGAGCUGUAAUUACUGGAUCUGGAGGUAGGAGGGCAAAGCCAAAAUGGGCUUGAAGUUUCAGUGUGGCCACGCUUUGAUGUUUCAUGGAUGGGUGGGGGAGUGAGGGGAGCUUUUCCACAGGAGAAAAUACCCACAAGUAGCCCAACUUCUUUUACGUAGGGAAACACGCGUAACCAACCAUAAUGAAGCAUAAUGGCAAAUAAAACGUGCGUUCUUUAGAAGAGACAAGCCGUUUAGCAUUUGGCUUCAGUAAUCACUAAAUGAUAAAUACUCUCAUCUCAAGGUAAUUAUGUGUAUCCUUUUAACACUCAUCAAAUGAUAAGCUUUCAUUGUGGUGUUCAAACAGUAUUGGGAGGGAUAAUGGGCUUUGUUUGCACUCAGCAAACCAAACCAGCUGUACUGCACUGCAUGAUAAUACUAUUUUUGUUGGUGCAAUCACUGGCACACUCUCUGUGUUUGUAAUCCAGCGGCUCUUCCUCUUCUGUACUAUGACUUCAACGCUGUCAUCUGUGCGUAAUUCGGUGACCGGAGUCACCGUCCUUGGCUGUGAAUAUUGUUGAGUCAACUUGAAGGUGUGUUUAUACACGUGUGUGUUUUUGGCUGUCAGCAUGUGUGAAGGCCUGUGUACAUCCAUCUGUGUGAGCAUGUACGUGGAUGUGUGUGUCACAACGUGGAGUGUUUAUGCGUGCGUCUGCUGUGUGUGUUUUUGCAGCUCCCGAGCACGGCCUCAUCCUGCAGAGGUGACUGUGAAACGAUGGGAACAGACAUCACUGUUGGAGGAAGAGGGGUUAGCAAGCAGCCGGCAGGAUAUCCCAUCACAUUAGGAGUGCUGCUGCGCCCACUUCCUUCAACUUUCCCAGUGGAGAGGUCAGUAGAGGUGAAGAGGACUCCUCCCUCUGUCAUUAUCCUUCCAUCACCUGCCUCUCUCCCUGCUGACAACAGAGCUUUCUCCCCUUUCUACUCACCCUUUACCCCCUGCACCAGCUUUGGCUCUUUCUGAUCUCUCACCCCUUUUUCUUUUAUGAUUUCCACAUCUUUUUACCCUCCAUCUGUUCCCCAGUUCCCGUCCCUUUCUAAGCCCUGCAUUUGCCUCUUUUUGCUCUUUUGAUAGCUUGGCUUCACUCUCAAUUUUCCUCUGUCAUUUCCCCUCACAGAUUCACAGAACUCUGGGGUCCUUCUUUCUGAGGCCUUUUGUUGAGUCUGCAGCUGAUCUCUAGAUUGCAACAGAGAUACUAUACACCCACUACAGCUCUCACACAGACAGGCUGGAGAUUGAACCAAAUUCUUUCAAAGGAGGAUCUCUGGUGAGUUUUAGCAAGAAAAGAGAGGAAUAGCUGUGUAUUGAGAGCUUGAGACAGCAGCCAAAUGUGUGUCAAAAAUACAGCAAAAAUCUGGGGCGUGUGGUAAUGCAAUAUAGAUGUUAUGUCAUCAUGAAUACUUCAUGAUACACAAUAGUGUGCGAUGAUAGAAUAAUGUAUGGCUAUUGAAUAAACUGAAGCGCAGAGGUGAGG
rnacentral:lncRNA from 1 species